rfam:Synechococcus sp. JA-2-3B'a(2-13), complete genome.
GACCUGGGUCCGUGCAGCUCCGACGCCCAAACCGUGUCAGGAUCGGAAGAUAGCAGCACCACGGGAUGCUCAGAGCAGGCGCGUCAACCCGGGUCGCC